GCAGUGGUAGUUCAGUGGUAGAAUUCUUACCUUCCAUGCAGGGGACUCAGUUCUAUUCCUGACCAAUGCU
rnacentral:tRNA from 1 species